AGUGGCGAACGGGUGAGUAAACGCGUAGGCAACCCUGGCCCUCCGGCCGGGGGACAACACUCCAAAGGGGUGCUAAUACCGGAUACGAAGUCUGUGCCGCAUGGUACGGAUUUGAAAGAUGGCCUCUAUUUAUAAGCUAUCGCCGGGGGAUGGGCCUGCGUCCGAUUAGCUGGUUGGUGGGGUAACGGCCUACCAAGGCGACGAUCGGUAGCCGGUCUGAGAGGAUGAACGGCCACAUUGGGACUGAGACACGGCCCAGACUCCUACGGGAGGCAGCAGUGGGGAAUCUUCCGCAAUGGGCGCAAGCCUGACGGAGCAACGCCGCGUGAGUGAGGAAGUUCUUCGGAACGUAAAGCUCUGUUGUUCCUGACGAACCUCCCCUCUAUCAACAACGGAGGGGACUGACGGUAGGGAACGAGGAAGCCACGGCUAACUACGUGCCAGCCGCAGC
rnacentral:rRNA from 1 species